UACGUAGGGGGGCGAGCGUUGUCCGGAUUUAUUGGGCGUAAAGAGCGUGUAGGCGGCCAGGUAGGUCUGCUGUGAAAACUCGAGGCUCAACCUCGAGAUGUCGGCGGAAACUGUCUGGCUAGAGUCCGGAAGAGGAGAGUGGAAUUCCUGGUGUAGCGGUGAAAUGCGCAGAUAUCAGGAAGAACACCCGUGGCGAAGGCGGCUCUCUGGGACGGUACUGACGCUGAGACGCGAAAGCGUGGGGAGCGAACAGG
rnacentral:rRNA from 1 species